CCUACGGGGGGCAGCAGUGGGGAAUAUUGGACAAUGGGCGAAAGCCUGAUCCAGCAAUGCCGCGUGUGUGAAGAAGGCCUUCGGGUUGUAAAGCACUUUCAGUGGGGAAGAAAGCCUUGGGGCUAAUACCCUCGAGGAAGGACAUCACCCACAGAAGAAGCACCGGCUAACUCCGUGCCAGCAGCCGCGGUAAUACGGAGGGUGCGAGCGUUAAUCGGAAUUACUGGGCGUAAAGCGCGCGUAGGCGGUCUGAUAAGCCGGUUGUGAAAGCCCCGGGCUCAACCUGGGAACGGCAUCCGGAACUGUCAGGCUAGAGUGCAGGAGAGGAAGGUAGAAUUCCCGGUGUAGCGGUGAAAUGCGUAGAGAUCGGGAGGAAUACCAGUGGCGAAGGCGGCCUUCUGGACUGACACUGACGCUGAGGUGCGAAAGCGUGGGUAGCAAACAGGAUUAGAUACCCCAGUAGUC
rnacentral:rRNA from 1 species